GUUCCUUGGGUAAGAAUUAAAAAAAAAAAACACAAGAAACUGGUGUCAAACUAUAGGUUUCCUCUCCCUUAUUGAAGACACAGCCAUAUUUUAAAGUUUCUGCUCAGUACAUCUGUAUUCUCCAUGUUCUUUCACUCUAUGCCACACAAUCCCCAAUACUUCUAAUAUAAGAAAAAAAUUAAAAUGACUCGCAGAAGUCUGGAAUCAUUGUGUCCUAAAAGAAGUAUAAAAUGCAUUUGACAUCUUCUAUUUUAUCUUAAAAAUUAUAUAUUUUUAAUUGCAUUAUGCUAUUACAAAUUUAUAAUAUUAUUACAAAAGUAAUAAUGUACCAUGUUCAUCUAGUGGCUUUGCAAAUGUGUGCCUCAAGUUCAUAAAUUCUCACAAUGCCUUUCUUUCCACUCUUUCUCCAUUUUUCUUCAUACUAAUUACCUUUCUACAGGGUAUUCUCAGUGAAGAACAAUCCCAGAAACUAUUACCAUCACUGAGAUCAUCUACUCUGGAACCCUACCCCUAAUCAUGUCAAACACACUGAGCUCCAGGGAGAGCAAACACAGGGUUUGGGUGUCCUCUGUGCUUCCCUCAUCUGGUCCCGGUCCUGAUUGUGCUGCAAAGCUAUCUCUGAGACCUGGGGCCCUAAGUGAUGGGAUAUUUUUAUCAACAUAAGAACUCAACAAAAUGAUUCUAGUUUUAACACACUGGUGUUCACAUGCAAAUAAAUGUCAUAAACCAGCAAUAUAUUACCACAAAUGGAAAGCAAAAAAGAAUAAAAAGGAGAAGAAGCAUAAGUGAUUUAUAAAUGCUGAUCAAUCAUCUUUAAGUGUAGGUAAUUUUAUCACUCAUUUGAUUCCAUUUUAACAAUUUAUAGUCAAAGUCUUAAAAAAUGAAGUGCAGCUUAAAUCUUUUGCUAAAUGUUCCAGAGGGGAAGAGAUUUAUAUUUCAGAUUUAAAACAUAUGUACAUAUGGAGUAAUUUCUGUCCUCAGGUUGUCACACAUAGAAUGCAUGGGCUCUGCAGUCAGAAUGGUUUGGUUUGCACUGGAAAUCCAAGUCUAUGUAAUCAAGAGCAAAUUACUUAAUCUCCAGUUUUCAUUGUUCUAAUCCAUGAAUGGGCAUAAAAUAAUACUUAUUUAAUAGGUCCUUUGAAAAGAGUAAAGGAGUGCUUAAUAAAUGGUAACUUUUACUAUUCAUAAAUAACAAAAUUGCUGAAGACUUAGAUUCACAGUCAUGUAGACAAUGAUUUCAGGAAAUACUCUGCAAAUCAUUACUUAUUUCUACCUUUUCACUCAAGGUGAGACAAUUGGUUUUCAGAGGUUAGUACAUACACACAAGGUCCCCCAAUUAGCUAGUGGCAUAGACCGAACACAUGGAAAAGUUUUGUUUGAAGUCACCACAGUUUGCUAUCGCACAUUUCAAAAUUGUAACAAAAGCAGCAUGAGAAAAAAUGGUGAUUUUCAAAGUAAUACUAAUAUUUCAUCUAGGAAGGGAUAGCAAACACAAUUAGAAUAUUCAAAUAACCUUGAAGAGAGUAUGUUUUGUCUACUGUGACAGAACUUGUCUUCACUUUUGAAUUAGUGAAAUGAUUUUCUACUUGAACUUGAGUUUAAGUGAGUCUCCACUACAUGUUUUUGUUGCUAUCAAUUUAUACAAUUUAAGUAUAAAUGCCCUGGUUUCCUUCUGGGAAUUGGUGAGCUCUGUAUUUGAAAUCACUGAAGUUUUUCAAAGUACAUACUCUAUUAACAGAAUUAAUAACGAGUUGCUAAUGGAAGAAGGGAAACUAAAUCAGAGGACUGGUCAGCACUUUUUCUCAGAAAAUAUUUUAAAUAACACACUGUUUUGGUUGAGCAGUUAACGUUAGCUGAGAAAUGGUGAAGGGAAACUGGGGGCAUAUUUAAAGAACGAGGGGAACAUUCAAUAAGUGUUAAAUACAUACCAGAUUUAAUGCUAAGUACUUUCCAUAUCAAUUAGUUUUUCCAAAAACCCAGUGAGAAAGGCAAUUUGGAGACAAAAAAAAUAUCCUUGAAUAUCAGUUAACUUAACAAAUGACAAAGACAUUCUUUAAAAAGCAUGCCCUAACUAAUUCAACUAACACAUGAUCUUCAACAAGCCCGCUACACUCCUAUCUUCUGCAUUGUUUCCUUUUGAUAAGACAACCCUAAAAUUCCUUUUGGUGUUAAAUAUUAAUGUACCUUGGGCAAGAGUGAGAAAUAACUAUGUUAUAGUGAAGUUCAUUCAACAGCAAAGAAUUUGAUAAGAAAUUUCCACCUUUGUGAGAAUGUAGAUUAUGAAAACAAAUAAUUUCUUACUUCAUAGAAUUCCCAUAUACUCUCUAGCCUUGGACAUAAUUUUAGCUCAAGACGGCCUUGAAAUCAGGGCCAAAACAGAACUGGUCUUUCUAGAUACUGUAUAACUGGGAUGGGUUGGAAAUCUCACCCACAUGGAGCCAUUGCUUCUACACAUUAUUUCUGUUUUCACAUCUUUUGAGAACAUUUAUGUACCAGCAAGACCUGAGUAAUUUAAAAGAUAUUACUUAUAAAAUAUAAACUAUGUCUUUAUAAUCAGAACUAUCAAAUAGCCUUUUACUACAAAAAGCAAUAGUGAUAUAAAUGCUAUUGUAGUUUCCACUGUUUUGAUUAAAACAAAAAUAUUUCAAUAAUGAAUAUAGGAAGAGAAUAUCUGUAAAACAGGAAAGCUCCAAUCUAGAAAGAGAAAAGUAUGAACAACGUAGAAGAGCAGAGGGGGCCCUUUGGACAGGUGCUCAUUUCCCCAAGUAGGAAUAACCAGAGUGUGAUGUUAGGAAAUGCAGGGUCCAGCAGAAGUAACACCAUCGAGUGUGGUUGGUAGGGUGCGUGAACAUCUCAUGAGAUGGACAGCAAUUUGAACAUUUCACCUAAAAUGUUAUGUGGUGUGCUUGAGUGUGAUAUUGUUAUGUUACAGAAUGACACACUUAUGAUUUUGUAAUAAAAGGUUUGGUAUAGAUUACCAGCUCAUAAAAAAGGGUGUUAUUUGUGCUGGACCCUAAAUAAUGUUAGUCACA